rnacentral:rRNA from 1 species
GGCGGUAGGCCUAACACAUGCCAGUCGAACGGCAGCACAGUAAGAGCUUGCUCUUACGGGUGGCGAGUGGCGGACGGGUGAGGAAUACAUCGGAAUCUACUUUUUCGUGGGGGAUAACGUAGGGAAACUUACGCUAAUACCGCAUACGACCUACGGGUGAAAGCAGGGGAUCUUCGGACCUUGCGCGAUUGAAUGAGCCGAUGUCGGAUUAGCUAGUUGGCGGGGUAAAGGCCCACCAAGGCGACGAUCCGUAGCUGGUCUGAGAGGAUGAUCAGCCACACUGGAACUGAGACACGGUCCAGACUCCUACGGGAGGCAGCAGUGGGGAAUAUUGGACAAUGGGCGCAAGCCUGAUCCAGCCAUACCGCGUGGGUGAAGAAGGCCUUCGGGUUGUAAAGCCCUUUUGUUGGGAAAGAAAAGCAGCAGGUUAAUACCCCGCUGUUCUGACGGUACCCAAAGAAUAAGCACCGGCUAACUUCGUG